AGGAGACAUAGUAGUGUAUGCUGGAUGACUAGUCUGUUGAUAUUGUUGAGAAGUAUUUGAAGCAUAUCCCAAUUCAGUACUAUGGUCGAUGUGUUGAAAAUUGUCGAAUGGGCUAUUGGCGGAGCGGUUUUCCACAGGAUUCAUAAAUCUAGAAGAAUAUGGAAGUGCAGUUGUCUCCCCAGCAUUUGAAGAUGCAGUUUCGUUGUUAAAAGCAGCUCCGGUAGACGGAGGAAUAAGACUAGCACCAGCAUAUGGUUGAGGGGAAAUUCCAUGUGUAGCAGGAGAAUAAAUACCGCCAUAUCCGGCACUUUGUUUACCAACCACCGGGCCACUUGUAGCACUUGUGGAUGCAGCGGGUAUAGUCGUUUGGGCUGAUACUUGAGGAGGGAUGGCCGAGACAGAAGAGGCGUUUCCACUGGCCGGUAAAUUUACAUCGUGUAAACCACGAUAUGGUGUCUCGUUAACAUGAGAUUCCUUCAAGUUUUCGGGAACCUUCGAUUGUGGAGCACGGCUUUCAUAUGCUGAAGUGUGUUGUUUCUUUGGGAUUUUGGUGGAUUCAGCAACUUUGCUCGCCUCUUUUUUUGCCUCUGGCUUUGGUGAAACUGUCUUUUUAGGAAAAUAGGAACUUCUUGGUCCAGACUGUGCUAUGUUGUCUGAAGAAGACUUUGUCGAUUUUUUGUCCUCACCCCCAAGUGUCAAGCUUCCGAAACGCACUUGAACCUUUUCGGGAAUAGCAGCAGUAUUAGCAACAGGCAUAACGACGGGGAAUCUAUCAGAAAGUAAUCGAGCAGUAGUCAUACUAGUUGUAGAGCUUUGAGAGCCAACAGCGGCUUGCUUCGCAAAGGAGGGCUUAGGUAGGGAAGCAGAAGAGAUGUUGGAAAGCCCAGGAGCGGGCUUGACUGCAUUUAUGGCAAAUGGGGCAGUACUCUUUUUGGGAGCUGAGGUAGCUGUGGAGGGGGUCGUUUCAACAUUUGCGGGAGUUGCAGAGUCCUGGGAUUUGUGAGGGAAAGGAACAGAUGAGGAUGACAGUUCAGCAGGUUUUUCGUAAGCAGCGGAAACAUUAGUUUUAGAGGGUUGAGAAGGAGCGAUAGAGGGUUUAGAAGGUUCGGAUUCGGGAGCGGGAGCGGGAGCGGGAGUGACCUUUUUCUUCGACUUUGCAACUGAAGCCCAAGCCUUCUUUAUAGGCUUUGAAGAUGCAACAGCCUGAUCAGCCGCACUGGUCGACUUUGCUGAGGCCGAAGUACCGCCUGCGGUGCCGUUCGUAUUUGUUGAAGCAGCGGUAUUAGCCGAUGUUAAAACUGAAGCUUGUUCAUUAGAUGUAGUAUGAUCUUUCAUUGAGGAAUCUUCAUUAAUAGUACCAGGAUCAACGGAAGAAGACACUGUCGUUGAUGCAGGAGCUUUGGUAGAAAUUUCUGAGGAAGGAAGAUCGCCAGUACCAGCAGGCUUUUCUAAAGAGGAUGGUGCAUGAACGGAAGAAGGAUCUGAGGGAGCUCCUGCUUUUGAUUUUCGAACCCCCCGAGAAGUAUCCUUAGAAGCGGAAGGUUUCUUUGAUUUACGUGUAGCAUUACGAAAGGUGGAAGAGACAUUAUCGGAAACUGGAGCAUGACUUGUUGGUUUGGACUUUGUUUUAGGGAUUGGCUUCUUUUUAACUUCACCCCAUUUGGAGGCGUGACCUUCAGUAAUAUGCAAUAUGGUCAGUUCCAAAUCCCGGUCCGCUUCUUCUAAAGCAAAACUUAAAUCAUCAAUCGUCCAGCUAGGAAACAGCUCUUGCAAUACGCUUAACUGCGAAUCACGAUCAAAUUCGAGCUCAAGCGCAUUUGAUCCCUCUAUAUUACUAGUCUGAGACGAAUUUGCCGGGCCAGAUUUUCCUUUGGUGCCUCGCCUUCCCUUCGCUCCUCUCUUGGCGGAAGAGGAUGAAGUUUUAUUAUCUUGCGAUAUAUUUAACGCUGUAUCUGUGUGUUGCUUUUCUGAAACUUGUUCGGUAUUUCCGACCUUCUUUGGCCGAAACUUUUUAUUCUCACUCAUUUUUGAUUCUACUUUUCUUUACAAAAAUUAAUACAGGUCUUGAAAAUCGACAAGGCACGUGUAUUCGUGCUUCAAGACGAUAUGCAAGAUUUUUCGUGUUAUUUAAGGGUAGUGGUUCUGGCUGCGUUUUGGUGUCGUGCAGCAUAGUGCUUUUGCUUAAAUGGAAAUUGCCUAUACC
rnacentral:lncRNA from 1 species